GGGCUAGUAGGUUGGUCAUGCCUCUGGUAUGUACUGGUCUCACUGAUUCCUCCUUCCUGAUGAGCCGUAAUGCCAUUAAUUUGGUGUUUUGGGGAAUUUGGACCGUUACUUUGAAAAAAUUAGAGUGUUUAAAGCAAGCUAACGCUUGAAUACAUUAGCAUGGAAUAAUGAAAUAGGACGUUCGAUCCUAUUUUGUUGGUUUCUAGGACCGUUGGA
rnacentral:rRNA from 1 species